rnacentral:rRNA from 1 species
UACGUAGGGGGCUAGCGUUGUCCGGAAUCAUUGGGCGUAAAGAGCUCGUAGGCGGUUUGUUGCGUCUAUCGUGAAAACCUGCAGCUUAACUGUGGGCUUGCGGUGGAUACGGGCAGACUUGAGUUCGGUAGGGGAGACUGGAAUUCCUGGUGUAGCGGUGAAAUGCGCAGAUAUCAGGAGGAACACCGGUGGCGAAGGCGGGUCUCUGGGCAACAACUGACGCUGAGGAGCGAAAGCGUGGGGAGCGAACAGG